rnacentral:rRNA from 1 species
UACGUAGGGUGCGAGCGUUGUCCGGAAUUAUUGGGCGUAAAGAGCUCGUAGGCGGCUUGUCGCGUCGGAUGUGAAAGCCCGGGGCUUAACUCCGGGUCUGCAUUCGAUACGGGCAGGCUAGAGUGUGGUAGGGGAGAUCGGAAUUCCUGGUGUAGCGGUGAAAUGCGCAGAUAUCAGGAGGAACACCGGUGGCGAAGGCGGAUCUCUGGGCCAUUACUGACGCUGAGGAGCGAAGGCGUGGGGAGCGAACAGG